rnacentral:rRNA from 1 species
ACUCCUACGGGAGGCAGCAGUGGGGAAUAUUGCACAAUGGGCGCAAGCCUGAUGGAGCAACACCGCGUGAGUGAAGAAGGGUUUCGGCUCGUAAAGCUCUGUUGUUAAAGAAGAACACGUAUGAGAGUAACUGUUCAUACGUUGACGGUAUUUAACCAGAAAGUCACGGCUAACUACGUGCCAGCAGCCGCGGUAAUACGUAGGUGGCAAGCGUUAUCCGGAUUUAUUGGGCGUAAAGAGAGUGCAGGCGGUUUUCUAAGUCUGAUGUGAAAGCCUUCGGCUUAACCGGAGAAGUGCAUCGGAAACUGGAUAACUUGAGUGCAGAAGAGGGUAGUGGAACUCCAUGUGUAGCGGUGGAAUGCGUAGAUAUAUGGAAGAACACCAGUGGCGAAGGCGGCUACCUGGUCUGCAACUGACGCUGAGACUCGAAAGCAUGGGUAGCGAACAGGAUUAGAUACCCUGGUAGGCUACCG